rnacentral:rRNA from 1 species
GAUGAACGCUGGCGGCGUGCCUAAUACAUGCAAGUCGAGCGACCGGACGAUAAGCUUGCUUCUCUGAUGUUAGCGGCGGACGGGUGAGUAACACGUGGAUAACCUACCUAUAAGACUGGGAUAACUUCGGGAAACCGGAGCUAAUACCGGAUCAUAUUUUGAACCGCAUGGUUCAAAAGUUCUACACGGUCUUGCUGUCACUUAUAGAUGGAUCCGCGCUGCAUUAGCUAGUUGGUAAGGUAACGCCUUACCAAGGCAACGAUGCAUAGCCGACCUGAGAGGAUGAUCGGCCACACUGGAACUGAGACACGGUCCAGACUCCUACGGGAGGCAGCAGUAGGGAAUCUUCCGCAAUGGGCGAAAGCCUGACGGAGCAACGCCGCGUGAGUGAUGAAGGUCUUCGGAUCGUAAAACUCUGUUAUUAGGGAAGAACAUAUGUGUAAGUAACUGUGCACAUCUUGACGGUACCUAAUCAGAAAGCCACGGCUAACUACGUG